CCAAACACUGCCUGAUGUUUUAAAGGGCUUGUGAAAGGACAUGUAUUCUUGAAACUUCAGAAAAUGUGGGCCAUUUACUAAGUGCAUCUAAGGUCAAGUGUUAAAAGUCAUGUCCACGAAUGUGAAAAGUCAUGUUUAUAUUUGUCAAAGGCAUGCUCAUAUGUCACCCCCUCCUUGACCAAGCCUCCAUGUGAUAGGGCACCUUCUAAGUGGUUGUCCAGCUAAAUUGCCUAACUGCCAGCCCUCCGUUAGGGCAGCUCAUGAGGGUCAGAUAUGUGGGUCCAUUCACCCUGUAUUAGGGAGACAAUUUGUACCAUCAGGCUAGCUUGCAUCCUGAGUCUUGAUGACUGGUGUUAAAGCUGAUGUUUUGAUAAUUAUUGUUAUUUUGUAUCUAGUGCCUAACAGCUGAAUACUUUUUUUUAAUAAAGAUUUUAUUUAUUUAUUCAUGAAAGACACAGAGAGAGAGGCAGAGACACAGGCAGAGGGAGAAGCAGGCUCCAUGCAGGGAGCCUGACGUGGGACUCGAUCCCAGGACUCCAGGAUCACACCCUGAGCUGAAGGGAGAUGCACAGCCACUGAGCCACCCAGGUAUUCAAUGACCACUGAAUAAUGGAAGGAGGACCCAGUGUAUUUUAUUUGUUUGUGUGUUUUCUUCCUUGGAUUUACUGGGUUACCAGAAGCCAGGAAACUCGUCUACAAUUCAAGAAAGGUCCCUUUCUCUCUGGUCCUCAAGAAGGUGCUCGUGAAAUGUCUUUUGAUAUAGAAGAAAAUCUAUCAACCUACUUCAUCAGUGAAAGCAACAGAGAGUCUCUGAGAAAAAAAAAAUGCUUUGAUGAGAUUAUUCAAUGCAUUUUAAUAUUAAAAUCAGCCAAUUGUCAAAAUUAAGCAAAUUUCUUUUGCUCCAAAAUGUGUACCUUCGGAAGCUUAGAAGUCCUUUUCUGAUAGAUUGAUUUAAAUGUAUAACAGUUGCUGUCACUUAUUAAUGACUAAAAUGUUGAAUUUAAAGAUUUUAUCCAUAAUUCCAUGUGGAAUAGCAAUCUUUUUAAAUUGAAACUUCAGGCAUUUUACUUGUUUUCUGUUUGUUUUUCCCCUUUGGUAGAGAAUGAGGACUGGUUGCUACAGCAACAGAAUUAUUCUCCAAGAAGCCUGGUACUUUCAUCAGAUGUUCACUCUGACAGUGAGUUCUGCUGUCUGAAUGUCUGACUUUUACAACCACAGCUAAUUACAAAACCUGUAACAAUUUCAUUCUGUUGCCCUAAAGGUUAAUGCAAAACUUGUAGUAUUGAAGAAAAUGUAGAUUGCCAAAACAAUUCUUAAGAAGAACAGAGAAAAAACAAGUAAUUACAUUUUUAAGGCUAUAGUCAGAAAUAUUAAACUUUAAAUUAUCUGUAGCUGUUAGGUUUAUAAAAUACCUUUAGGGAAUAAGAAAAAUAAUGUCAGUUUUCUCUUUCUUCAUUUUGCUCCAUCACUUUUCAACCAUGGUUCUCAAAUUAGAACUAGGAUAUUAUAUUGAAUUUCCAUCACUUGGCUUUUCAACUAGAGAAUAUAACUCCCAGGCCAGGGGAGGAAGUUAAAAUCGCCAUGUUUGGAUUUUCUACCAUAUGAGCGACAUUUUUAGUUCUUACUAAUUGUUAGCUUCCUAAAAAUGUGGUGUGUUUUAAAGCUGCAGAAUGCACUUAUUAUAUUGAAAAUAAAACAGAAUAUUCAAAGCUUUUGCUUUGUCGA
rnacentral:lncRNA from 12 species